GAUGAAGAACGUAGCGAAAUGCGAUAAGUAAUGCGAAUUGCAGAAUUCCGUGAAUCAUCGAAUCUUUGAACGCACAUUGCGCCCGCCAGUAUUCUGGCGGGCAUGCCUGUUCGAGCGUCAUUACAACCCUCAGGCCCCCGGGCCUGGCGUUGGGGAUCGGCGGAAGCCCCCUGUGGGCACACGCCGUCCCUCAAAUACAGUGGCGGUCCCGCCGCAGCUUCCAUUGCGUAGUAGCUAACACCUCGCAACUGGAGAGCGGCGCGGCCAUGCCGUAAAACACCCAACUUCUGAAUGUUGACCUCGAAUCAGGUAGGAAUACCCGCUGAACUUAAGCAUAUCAAUAAGCGGAGGA
rnacentral:misc_RNA from 1 species